AGUCGAGGCAGCCCAACCUAUAAGAGAUUUUGACUCGGUUUCCAGCUGGAAUGCUUCAACUUGUGAACCUGCUGCAGCUAUUGGAGAGGAGGAACAUAUGGCUAACAAUGUUGCCAGAGCUAUGUACCUUGAUCAUGGUAUCCUGGCUCCUGAGUGUUGCGGUGUUGCCACGGUUUAUCUGGAUGUGUCUUAUGGGUGUGCAACAUUUUUCACUGGGCCUAUGCCUGCUACUAAAGAAAUUGGAUCACAAGUAGGAUCAUUUGACUGGAUAAGUAACGAUAUUUGCAUAGCCUGCUGUUUUUUAAGAAAACUAUAUAUUUUUAGAUAAACAUUCUCUUUUGUAAUUUUCUCACAAAAUUUCUAAAUGAACUGCACAAGAAUCCUAGAAACUACUGAAACGAGACAUGUUAGGUAUUUUGUACCCAUUACACUGUACACAUCAAACUAAUUGAUGAAAUACUGGAACAAACAUUAUACAGCUUCAAGGGGCCAAUAUUGAACAGAG
rnacentral:misc_RNA from 1 species